AUUCAAUGUAAUUAAUAAUGUGUAAUUUAGAGAAUUUUUUAAAAUUUAUUUUUCGAAUAGGUUUGGACAGAUACCUAGAAUGCAGGUGUUUUUCUUUGAUGUAGCUUCAAUGUUGGGAUUUUUUUUAAGGUGAAAACAAACAUCAACAAGAAAAACAACAAAUGAAAAGCACUGUGUCCAGAUGCAAUUUCGCACUAUUUUGUUAUGUUUUCACCACAUCAGAUGUGGUAGAUUUGGAAAGAAAAAAAUGUGACUUCUCGUCUGAUCGUUAAAAAUUUUUAUUCUUAGAGUCAAGAUCUCGCUCUGUCACCCAGGCUGGAGUGCAGUGGUGGGAUCAUAGCUCACUGCCACCUUGAAUUCCUGAACUCAAGCGAUCCUCCCACUUUAGCCUCCUGAGUAGCUGGGACUACAGGUGCACACCAACACUAUGCCUGGAUAAUUAAAAAAAAAAUUGUAGACACGGAAGUCUUGCUGUGUUGCUCAGGCUGGUGUUGAACUUCUGAUCUCAAGUGAUCCUCCUGUCCUGGAAUUCCAAAAUGUUUCUCAUCAUGAGAGAAUCUUGCUUGUAUGGUAGUCAUGGACUGUGGUCUCUGCGAUCUUCCUCCAAAAAAGGAGUUGUCAUUUCACUUCAAGGAGGGCAGUUAGCUGACAGCUUGUAAUACGGCACCUUCAGGAUCAACUGCAGCUUUUGAGCUGAGUUCAUGCUCCUUUCACACAGGACUAUGCAGUGCCUGAGCGUGGCAGAGGCACUAGGGCCUGGUGUUUUCUGCCCAAGGCUGGGCCCUCUAAUGGGCACUUUUUGCACUGGAGCUCCCUGUUGGCUUGGCUAUAGCUUGUCAGAUCUACAUUGCAGUAGGAGGGUCUCCUUGCCAAAUUCUGCUUUUCCCUUUUUUUUUGAGGUGGAGACUCACUCUGUCCCCCAGGCUGGAGUGCAGUGGCACCUGCAAUCCCAGCACUUUGGGAGUCCAAGGCAGGUAAAUCACCUGAGGUCAGGAGUUUGAGACUAGCCUGGCCAACAUGGUGAAACCCAGUCUCUACUAAAAAUACAAAAAUUAGCCGGGCAUGGUGGUGCGUGCCUGUAAUCCCAGUUACUCAGGAGGCUGAGGCAGGAGAAUCGCUUGCUCUUUUUUUUCCUUUUGUCUUUCACAGGCAUUAGCCCCCCUCCAGUGAGCCUCCCUCAUGCACCCUGCAGAUUCUGGGCUCCCUCCAAUUCCUCAAAGCCUCAAGAGGUGGAUCCCUCCUUUCUACGGAGAGCCAGCUUUCCCACUGCAUGGGGAGGCACUGCAGAGUUCUCAAUCUUGCAACAAUCACAGAGCCCACCUCUGGAGGUGCCCCACCUUUUCUCCUGGCUACGAAGCCAAAACUAAAGUUAAGUCACAGCUUACUUGAGAUGUGCUAAGCCUGUUGAAGAUGAUAUGCCAAGGAGCCUGUAAGAAAACCAUUUGUGCUGGAGGAAACCAUGGCAGUUCCCAUGGACUGGAUUUUGAGGGUGCCUGAUUAAGGUGUCCAGACAUAAGAUGGGGAUGCUCUCAAUAUAUGGGAUUUAACACCAGGGAAGAACAAAAACUUCUUGAGAGAAUGGCUCCUAGAAGUCUGGAAAACAAGCUGGCCCCCAUGCUGGGUGAAGAUCCAAAGUUCAAUGGCUAUGGCAGAUGGUAGAAGAAAGGACUAAAAGGCUCAGCACAGAGGCUAUGCUGGAGAGGGUGUAAGAUUUGAGGCCAGGGGACCCACCAGAAGAUUAUGUUCCUCAGCAAGGCCCAGACGACUCAGCAUUCCCAGGGCUGCUGCACAUGUGCUGAUGAGACAGGCACCUGCAUCUUUAACUUUUGUGAAAGUUCUGUUCUGCAGUGGGGAUGAUGGUGUCUCAAAGCAAUAGACAUCAGGCAGUAACACGUAACCACCAGCAUCCAGGAGCAAUUUGUAAUGAUUGAGAAGAUCACAGUGACGAGGAAGAUGGACAGACCCACGGAGAAUUGUGGAGAUCAUUUAUACAAUGAAAUAGGAACAGUUUUCUAAGGGAUGAAAUAGGUAGGCAGUGAAUAAUGGUACUGCCUAAUACAUGUAAUCAAAAUAACAAAUUCCACACAACUAGGAUUAUUUCUGUGAUCUACAGUCUGUCCAUUCUGAGUGGGACCUGGAGCAGGAAGAGGGUCUGCCCCAGGUGCAGGCUGCGUUCAGGCAUCCCUGCCAUGUGCACCAUGUGUCGGCGGUGGAAAGUGAUGCAGAGAUGAGGUCAUGACAGUGGGGGAUUCUCAGUGCAGAGCCCUGGGGUUCUGCAACAAAGAGAAGCCAUUUGCAAUGAAGAACUGUGCAUCAUCAUCCCACUGUACCCUGGGAGGGAAGGAGUGUUUGAGAAUAAGUGACCAUGCAUCCAGGCCUUCUAUUAUGAGCUGGAUUCUGCCAGAGUCAUCAGUUCAUCAAGCCAGACAAGCAUCAUAAUAAUCUAUCACAAAAUGGAAAUGGAACAGCUGAGAUUGAGCCCAAGCAGAACCAGAGGGCAUGAGUACGCGGCAUGAUAGCCUUGUGUCCCUCGCUCAAUUCACACUGAUGGCCCUAUGGGGGUCCCAUAAAACAAACUGAGGGAAGGAAAAUAAAUUACCAAAGUUGAUCAACAGGUAGAUUAUCUCAGUAUAGCAGUCCAAGCUAAAAUGGACAGCUGGCUGCAUUGUAGCCAUAGUCAAGGGUAGCCUUGAAAGAUAGUGGUGACAUAAGACCUUCCCAAUGAGACGGCUUUACGUGAUGCACUUGAUCAUGCACUUUAUGUAGCAGGGAGAAUGGCCUGAGCAAAGACUAUGUAAAUAUUCAUGGGCAGUGACUACAAAUAACACUGGACUGGCUGGGCAGGGGCUGAAUGGCCUGGCCUAGCUAGGCAGGGUCUGUUAUAGAAAAAGACUGGAAGAUCACAAAGAGGCAAGAAGAAAAGUGAAGAUAUCCCUUACAGCCACACUCCGGAAUAAUCUAUAAGAAGGGAAAAGGUGAAAUUGACUCAAGAAAUGCUGAUGGAUGCAGGACCUAAGGUGGUGGGGGCUGGGAAGAUCAGUCACAAAAUCUCAGAUAAUAGAACCCAAAAGACAUCACUAUUUGAAGGAGACCAAGAAAUAGCAAGAACACUCACACCGGAAAAAAAUCAAUCACUGUAAUAUGUCUAUUGCAAUAAAAUUGAACUACCUUACAAAUGUUUUGAGAAUUAAGGGUAAAUUCUAAAAUACUUCUACGUGUUAGAAAGAAUAAAUGGAAACCAGGAACAGAAAACCAAACACUGCAUAUUCUCACUCAUAAGUGGGAGUUGAACAAUGAAAACACAUGGACACAGGGAGGGGAACAUCACACACCAGUGCCUGUCAGAGGCGGUGGGGAGAGGGGAGGGAGAGCAUUAGGACAAAUACCUAGUGCAUGCGGGGCUUAAAACCUAGAUGAUGGGUUGAUAGGCACAACAAACCACCAAGACACAUGUAUACCUAUGUAAUAAACCUGCACAUUCAGAACAGGUAUCCCAGAACUUAAAGUAAAAUGAAAUAAUAAAUA
rnacentral:lncRNA from 1 species